rnacentral:tRNA from 1 species
UAUACCCUAGUGUAUGGCGCACAAGAGUUUUUGAUACUCUAAGGAAUAGUUCAAAUCUAUUGGAUAUAA